UACGUAGGGAGCAAGCGUUGUCCGGAAUCAUUGGGCGUAAAGCGCGCGUAGGUGGCCUCAUAAGUCCGCUGUGAAAGUCCAAGGCUCAACCUUGGAAAGCCGGUGGAUACUGUGAGGCUAGAGUACGGAAGAGGCGAGUGGAAUUCCUGGUGUAGCGGUGGAAUGCGCAGAUAUCAGGAGGAACACCAAUAGCGAAGGCAGCUCGCUGGGAAGUUACUGACACUGAGGCGCGAAAGCGUGGGGAGCGAACAGG
rnacentral:rRNA from 1 species